UUUGCCAUGCAUAGCUUUAACUAGACGAUCUGUUUUUUAUUUUGGACCACUCUUUUGGAACUCAUUACCGAAUUCUGUUAAAUUAUCAAAAUCUUUAAAUCAAUUUAAACGUGCAUGUCUUCGAAACAAAACACUUUUAAACACGGCUUUCCAUUUAUUGUAAUGAUUUGUUUUCACCCCCCCCC